rnacentral:rRNA from 1 species
GCCUACGGGGGGCUGCAGUGGGGAAUAUUGCACAAUGGGGGAAACCCUGAUGCAGCCAUGCCGCGUGUGUGAAGAAGGCCUUCGGGUUGUAAAGCACUUUCAGCGAGGAGGAAAGGUCAGUAGCUAAUAUCUGCUGGCUGUGACGUUACUCGCAGAAGAAGCACCGGCUAACUCCGUGCCAGCAGCCGCGGUAAUACGGAGGGUGCAAGCGUUAAUCGGAAUUACUGGGCGUAAAGCGCACGCAGGCGGUUGGAUAAGUUAGAUGUGAAAGCCCCGGGCUCAACCUGGGAAUUGCAUUUAAAACUGUCCAGCUAGAGUCUUGUAGAGGGGGGUAGAAUUCCAGGUGUAGCGGUGAAAUGCGUAGAGAUCUGGAGGAAUACCGGUGGCGAAGGCGGCCCCCUGGACAAAGACUGACGCUCAGGUGCGAAAGCGUGGGGAGCGAACGGGAUUAGAUACCCCGGUAGUCUGC